GCUGAAAAUAGUCAGGUUCUGUCUAACUAGCGAAACGGCUCGAUAUAGAAUAGAAAUAAUAGAUAUAGAAUGCGUACUUGAUCACGAAUCAUUUCUUCACUUUUUUUCAUGCGUUUUCAAAUCCGUUAAAGGCGGAUUUCUAUUCAGUGCAAAAUGUUGCGCGAUCGACUUUUUGCGAUCGCUUUCUUUUGAAAUGCAAACAGUCAAGCGGAA